rnacentral:misc_RNA from 1 species
GAUGAAGAACGUAGCGAAAUGCGAUAAGUAGUGUGAAUUGCAGAAUUCAGUGAAUCAUCGAAUCUUUGAACGCACAUUACGCCCCUUGGUAUUCCAUGGGGCAUGCCUGUUCGAGCGUCAUUUGUACCUUCAAGCUUUGCUUGGUGUUGGGUGUUUGUCCAUUCUCUUGCAGAGGGACUCGCCUUAAAGUAAUUGGCAGCCAGUGUUUUGGUUUUGAAGCGCAGCACAAGUCGCGAUUCAACGCUAUACGCCAGCUUCCACAAGCCUUUUUCACUUUUGACCUCGGAUCAGGUAGGGAUACCCGCUGAACUUAAGCAUAUCAAUAAGCGGAGGA